rnacentral:rRNA from 1 species
GACGAACUGUCCUAACGUUGUUCGGAAUCACUGGGCUUAAAGGGCGCGUAGGCGGUCGAUCAAGUCAGGGGUGAAAUCCUACAGCUUGAACUGUAGAAGUGCCUUUGAUACUGGUUGUCUUGGAGGGAGGUAGGGGUGUGGUGGAACUCGACAGUGGAGCGGUGAAAUGGCGUUGAGUAUUGUGAGGAACGGCCGGAGGC